rnacentral:rRNA from 1 species
AGUGAACGCUGGCGGCAUGCCUUACACAUGCAAGUCGAACGGCAGCACGGUUACUGGCUGCUGUUAGCGAGUGGGGGACGCGGGAGGAAUACAUCUGCACCUGUCCUGUCGUUGUGGAUAGCGCGGCCAAAGCCGAAUUUAUACCACAAACGAAUCCCGGCUGCAAGCGGAGACCUUCGGGCUUCGCGCCUUACGGUUGUGCGAUGGCCGAUUAGCUAGUUGGUGGGGUAAAGGCCCACCAAGGCGACGAUCAGUAGCUGGUCUGAGAGGACGAUCAGCCACACUGGGACUGAGACACGGCCCAGACUCCUACGGGAGGCAGCAGUGGGGAAUUUUGGACAAUGGGCGAAAGCCUGAUCCAGCAAUGCCGCGUGGGUGAAGAAGGACUUCGGGUUGUAAAGCACUUUUGUUCGGAAAGAAAUGCAGCACGCUAAUACAGCCGGGGGAUGACGGUACCGAAAGAAUAAGCACCGGCUAACUACGUG